UACGUAGGGACCAAGCGUUGUUCGGAUUUACUGGGCGUAAAGGGCGCGUAGGCGGCAAUUCAAGUCAGUUGUGAAAUCUCCGAGCUUAACUCGGAACGGUCAACUGAUACUGUUUUGCUAGAGUACAGAAGGGGCAAUCGGAAUUCUUGGUGUAGCGGUGAAAUGCGUAGAUAUCAAGAGGAACACCUGAGGUGAAGACGGGUUGCUGGGCUGAUACUGACGCUGAGGCGCGAAAGCCAGGGGAGCAAACGGG
rnacentral:rRNA from 1 species